AUUGAAGGGGGCUGCUCCUAGUACGAGAGGACCGGAGUGGACGAACCUCUGGUGUUCGGGUUGUGUCGCCAGACGCAUUGCCCGGUAGCUAAGUUCGGAAUCGAUAACCGCUGAAAGCAUCUAAGCGGGAAGCGAGCCCUGAGAUGAGUCUUCCCUGAUACUUUAAGUAUCCUAAAGGGUUGUCGGAGACUACGACGUUGAUAGGUCAGGUGUGUAAGUGCUGUGAGGCAUUGAGCUAACUGAUACUAAUUGCCCGUGAGGCUUAACCAUACAACACCCAAGGGGUUU
rnacentral:rRNA from 1 species